GUGCUGUAUAAUGAGGAUAAAUAUGUCUGUCUCCGUAAGAGCAGCACAUGUACUAAAAUUAGAAGGAUGGAGAGAAGAUUAGUCUGGCCCCUGCGUGAGAAUGACAUGCAAAUUCGUGAAGUGUUCCGUAUUUGU
ensembl:snRNA U6 U6 spliceosomal RNA